ACGUGGCUCGGCAUCCGUUCCCCGUGGGUAGUGGCACAGGGCCGGCGCGUGGUCAUUCAUUUUCGGGCCUGGGAGGACGCGUGGACAAAGUACACCAAGUAGAUCGCAGCGUGGCUGCAUAAUAAAGGUUUGAACCAUUGAACGGACGUUUAUAUAGCAAAGUAUCUCGAAUAGCAGGCUUACCCAGGAUACCAAAGCCACGGUGUUGAGUGAAGAACACAAGGCGAGCGAGCGAGUGCAGGGCUCGGGACCCUCCAAGUGCCCAUCAGGCCAGCAGCGUCACGGAGGGAGGCGAAGGCUCUCCAGCAGCGAUGGCAUCCGUAGCCCCGGUGCCAAGAGUGGAAGAAAAAUUCAUUUCCGUCCAGCAUCUCCAUGGAGAACACCAGUACGGACAAAAAUAACAAUUGUUCGCAGAUGACUGAGCAGCUUGUAUCAGAAAAAAGGUCACCAAAUAAUCUUUCUGAUGGGUUGGUAUGAGCUGAAGGGUUCUGCGCAGCCCCAGCGAACCUCCAAGCCCUGUAACCACGACCUGUUUUGUGUAGCUGCACGAUCAAAGCAUGAAUGGGCAAUCGCUGCCAACAGCCAGCUCAGAAACAAAAGGGCAACUUCCCUUCAGGUCUGAAUCAUCAGAAACUGAGCGAAUGAGGCUGGGAACAGGACACUGCCUGGGACGAGGACUUUGUGCACACGUUCAAACAAGGUACCUCUGCAGAGGAGUUCAGCCUAACAACCAAACUGCCUGCACGUACGCAAACCACGGGACAUCUUGUCAGACGUUUUAAAAUCUACAUCAAAUUAGGCUCUUUUCUGUUGGUCCUGCUUCUCUUCCCGUCGCUGGCUUUGGAUCAUGAAUUGGGACGGGACGCUUGCCCCUCCGUCUUAGGCUUGUGGUGACCGGUGCCCUGUGCACCCUUCCAAGCUGGCAGCCCUGCUGCCGAGUCGAGCAAGAAAAAUGCCAAGAGCAUUUUUAAUCAGGGUUGGAAGUCGUAAGACUUCCCAAGAAGGCAUCAGGUUUUGUUCCUUUACAGGCACUCACAGGAAAGCCUGGUUUCCUAUGGAUUUCUCUCUUGCGUAACGAACAUUUUUUUGUGAAUUAGACUAUGAUCUUCUGUUAUUGCCUGUCUUCUCCUCACCUAGUACUGCAGCAGGGUCGUUUUCCACUGUUCCUUGUCAAUCCCACACCUCCUGCGCAUCUCUUGGUAGAGAGGCAUGAAAGGCUUAAACAGGAGACUUUAGAGGCUUUUGCUGGUUUUGCUGGUGCAAACGUGGACGUAGCUCACAGCACAGCCCCACGAAGAGCUAUAAGCAUGGGGGGCACAGGGGGGACCUCAGCCUGCCACUGCCACCAUGUGGGAUGCAGGAGACAAACUUGAAUGCCAAGACUUCGCUUGACCAAGAUGGUCAAAAGCUUCCCCAUCACUCAAGAUCAGACUCAUCCUCUCCAACUCCCCUCCUUGAGGUGCGUGUUUCUGGAGCAAACAAUCGCAGUCUUGCCCCACUUCAAGCUCGCGGCCAUGCCGUUCUCAGCAGGAGGCUGGGGGAUUGGCAUCAGAGGCAGAAAAUAAAAGACCUUCUAGCUCAGUCCCAGGCUGGGAAGCCGCUGAGCUCAGCCAGCAAUGCAGAGCUCUCCAUGGGAUAUUGAGAACAAUGACAGGGCAGUCAUGGAAUGGUUAAACAUAGUCAAAGAGAAACAACAGGAGCUUUUCGUGCAGAAAUCCAGGCAGUGCUGACAGCUAUAGGCGGGCCCUGAAUUGUUCAUUCCCAUGUUCCCAGCUUGCUAAAAACCUGGGCAGUCUGGGCUUCCAUGGGUAUUUGAGUGAGCAUCCCAGCCGUGCUAGUCAGCCUGCUUGUAUCUCCAUCAUUUGCCAUAGUAAAUCAGAGACUUCCGUGUUACGCCCUGGGUCUACCUGUCUGUGCUGCAGGGAUGGGCUCCUAUAAAUCUCUCCUCUCUGGCCAUGAGAGCGCCAAUAAAUCUGUCUUGGAUGCAUGUCCUGACCAAGAAGGCAACAAUAAAUUUCUUGUAAGUGGUUGA